AGAUGGUAUAAGGAAAAAAGAACGGCCGACUGAUAAAGGUGUUUCUUGGCUGGUUAAGACUCAGUAUAUUUCUCCUCUUAGCAUGGAAUCAACAAGACAGUCUUUGACUGAAAAACAAGCAAAAGAACUGAAAGAGAAGAAGGGAGGCCGUAACAUUUUAGAAAACCUUAAUGAUAGGGACAGACAGAUUAAGGACAUUGAAGCAUCAUUUGAGGCAUCAAG